GAAUUAUUCUAGGAUUCAUGCUCAGAAAAGGCAGACUGAGGACUGCCACUACAAUGCCAGCCAUGGAGAAUAGCAGUGGAACAUAACUUUUGGAAACAGUACAGUAAACAGUGUGACAAGUUGCAUUGGCUAUUUUUUUGCAAAAAGACAAUGAGAACAGCAGUCUACGGUCAGAUCUGUUCAGUUACGCUCGGCGAUUUAAAGCAACUUUGUUACCUCCUACAAAUGAAAUAUCAGUGCUUCAAAAUUGUUCAAGUACUUGAUCAGUUCAGCAGUUUAUUAUUUUAUUUACAAACAUUUCCAAUUCCUAUGUUUUAACUACCUUUUAAUUUUCUUUGUUAGCUUUAUUAGAAAAGAAUGUAGUGCUGUCUUUAACUGAACUUAGUUAAAUUUAUAAACCUAAUAAAAAUAAUCAUUGUAGGCAAUC
rnacentral:lncRNA from 7 species